rnacentral:rRNA from 1 species
GAUGAACGCUAGCUACAGGCUUAACACAUGCAAGUCGAGGGACCGGCGCACGGGUGAGUAACACGGAUCAAACCUGCCCUUUACUCGGGGAUAGCCUGUCGAAAGAAAGAUUAAUACCCGAACUAAAGGAUGGGGAGGCGUUCCAUUAGGUUGUUGGUGAGGUAACUGCUCACCAAGCAUUCGAUGGAAAGGGGUUCUGAGAGGAAGGUCCCCCACUUUGGAACUGAAACUCGUGCCAAACUCCUACGGGACGCAGCAGUUAGGAAUAUUGGUCAAUGGGUGCUAGCCUGAACCACCCAAGUAGCGUGAAGGAUGAAGGCUUAUGGGUCGUAAACUUCGUUUAUAUAAGAAUAUGUAUGAUAUGAAUAGGGAUCGGCUAACUCCGUGCCAGCCGCCGCGAUAGUGC